rnacentral:rRNA from 1 species
CCUACGGGAGGCAGCAGUGGGGAAUCUUGCGCAAUGGGCGAAAGCCUGACGCAGCCAUGCCGCGUGUAUGAUGAAGGUCUUAGGAUUGUAAAAUACUUUCACCGGUGAAGAUAAUGACUGUAGCCGGAGAAGAAGCCCCGGCUAACUUCGUGCCAGCAGCCGCGGUAAUACGAAGGGGGCUAGCGUUGCUCGGAAUUACUGGGCGUAAAGGGAGCGUAGGCGGACAUUUAAGUCAGAGGUGAAAUCCCGGAGCUUAACUUCGGAACUGCCUUUGAUACUGGGUGUCUUGAGUGUGAGAGAGGUAUGUGGAACUCCGAGUGUAGAGGUGAAAUUCGUAGAUAUUCGGAAGAACACCAGUGGCGAAGGCGACAUACUGGCUCAUUACUGACGCUGAGGCUCGAAAGCGUGGGGAGCAAACAGGUAUUAGACUACCCUGGUAGUCCACGCCGUAAACGAUGUAUUGNUAGUUGUCGGAGCUGUCUCUCGU